CUAGGGAUACAGAGACAUUGGGACACAGACAAUGGGAGACAUGGGGACACUGAAACAUUUGGGGACACUAAGACACUAGGGACACUAAGAGACAUGGGAACACAGACACUGGGAGACUAGGGGACACUGAGACACUAGGAACACUGGCUGGAAGACAGGCACUUGGGGACACUUGUGGACAUAGACAUGGGGACACUGGGAGACA